rnacentral:rRNA from 1 species
AUUGAACGCUGGCGGCAUGCUUUACACAUGCAAGUCGAACGCCCGUAGCAAUACGGGAGUGGCGGACGGGUGAGUAACGCGUGGGAACGUGCCCUGAGGUACGGAAUAACUGCGGGAAACUGCAGCUAAUACCGUAUGAGCCCCGCAAGGGGGAAAGAUUUAUCGCCUUAGGAGCGGCCCGCGUCGGAUUAGCUAGUUGGUGGGGUAACGGCUUACCAAGGCUUCGAUCCGUAGCUGGUCUGAGAGGACGAUCAGCCACACUGGGACUGAGACACGGCCCAGACUCCUACGGGAGGCAGCAGUGGGGAAUCUUGCGCAAUGGGGGCAACCCUGACGCAGCCAUGCCGCGUGAAUGACGAAGGUCUUCGGAUUGUAAAGCUCUUUUGGCGGGGACGAUAAUGACGGUACCCGCAGAAUAAGCCCCGGCUAACUUCGUGCCAGCCGCCGCCGUAAGAC